rnacentral:tRNA from 1 species
GAUGAACCCUAAAAAGUUCUCUAAACAC